UCAUGGGGCACAGUAGUUUCUGGUGUCUGGU
rnacentral:piRNA from 1 species